GGAAGAUUGGCUGAGAGGCCGAAAGCAGCGGCUUGCUAAGCCGUACCGCCUACGGGCGGCGAAGGUUCGAAUCCUUCAUCUUCCGCCA
rnacentral:tRNA from 1 species